CAAUCAUCUACAAGUUCCUCUCUGAUCUCUCUAAUAUUUUAAAACCCCUAAAUUCUCCAUUUCAAAAAAUGUCUGUAAAUUUUGAGAAGCGGUGCUUUUCCGGCGACCCUGCUUAUGCCACCAGCGACUAGAAUCUAGAAAUUGCGUUCUCUCACGUUAUUCGAUUUAAUGAUCACUAGCGUCUAGCGAUCGCGAAACUGGGGGAUCAAGAGGAUUAUGAUUUGUGACGAGAACAGGACUCUUUAAAGGAAGCGACAGUGGAUGAGACCGUGGUGGUGGUGGGUGGCCGCCGUGAGGUGGAUUACGGAGGCGGUGACGGAGGGAGCAAUUGGCGACUCUAUCUCCUUUGCAAAGAGUUUGAUGUUGUGUCACUUUUCUUCUGCAACAACAAAUUGGAGAGCCACAGAAUUCUUAUGGGUUGUUCGCAAUCAUUCAACCAAAUGCAUACACAUACAUACAUGCAUUCAUUCAUACACACAUACAUGCAUUCAUUCAUACACACAUACAUGCAUACAUGCAGUCAUUUAUACAUACAUACAUACAUACAUA